CAGCCGCCGCGGUAAAACGAAGGGGGCUAGCGUUGCUCGGAAUUACUGGGCGUAAAGGGAGCGUAGGCGGAUCGUUAAGUUGGGGGUGAAAGCCCGGGGCUCAACCUCGGAAUUGCCUUCAAUACUGGCGAUCUUGAGUAUGGAAGAGGUAUGUGGAACUCCGAGUGUAGAGGUGAAAUUCGUAGAUAUUCGGAAGAACACCAGUGGCGAAGGCGACAUACUGGUCCAUUACUGACGCUGAGGCUCGAAAGCGUGGGGAGCAAACAGGAUUAGAUACCCGCGUAGUCCCUGUCUCUUAUAC
rnacentral:rRNA from 1 species